rnacentral:rRNA from 1 species
GGGUCAGUAGGUUGGUCGUGCCACCGGUACGUACUGGUCUCACUGAUUCCUCCUUCCUGAAGAACCGUAAUGCCAUUAAUUUGGUGUUGCGGGGAAACAGGACUGUUACUUUGAAAAAAUUAGAGUGUUUAAAGCAAGCUAACGCUUGAAUUCACUAGCAUGGAAUAAUGAAAUAGGACGAUCGAUCCUAUUUUGUUGGUUUCUAGGAUUGACGUA